rnacentral:rRNA from 1 species
UGAAGCGUUGGUAAAACAACGUGGAGGACCGAACCAGGGAUCGUUGAAAAGAUCUUGGAUGACUUGUGGGUAGGGGUGAAAUUCCAAUCGAACCUGGAGAUAGCUGGUUCUCCUCGAAAUAGCUUUAGGGCUAGCCUUGUGGUAAAGCUNNACGGAGGUAGAGCACUGAAUGGAUGCGGGGGCUUCACCGCCUACCAAAUCUUAUCAAACUCCGAAUGCCGUCAAGAGAAUACACAGGAGUCAGACUAUGGGGGAUAAGCUUCAUAGUCGAAAGGGAAAGAGCCCAGACCGCCGUCUAAGG